UACGUAGGGGGCUAGCGUUGUCCGGAAUCAUUGGGCGUAAAGCGCGUGUAGGCGGCCCGAUAAGUCCGCUGUGAAAGUCCAGGGCUCAACCCUGGGAUGCCGGUGGAUACUGUCGGGCUCGAGUCCGGAAGAGGCGAGUGGAAUUCCUGGUGUAGCGGUGAAAUGCGCAGAUAUCAGGAGGAACACCAAUUGCGAAGGCAGCUCGCUGGGACGUUACUGACGCUGAGACGCGAAAGCGUGGGGAGCAAACAGG
rnacentral:rRNA from 1 species